rnacentral:tRNA from 1 species
GCGGGAAUAGCUCAGUUGGUAGAGCACGACCUUGCCAAGGUCGGGGUCGCGAGUUCGAGUCUCGUUUCCCGUC